rnacentral:ncRNA from 1 species
GAGAGCCGUAUGAAACUAUCACGUACGGUUUGGAGAGUAAUCAAUCCACUGACUCUAC